AGGUGACCAAGUUUAUGAGGGUUUGGAAGUCUGAUUCCAAGACUUACACGAGUGUAGGGUGAGGACAGUGUGUCCUUAGCUCAAGGAAAAUAUAGUAAGGACUUAGUGUCCUGACCCCUGAGACUGUGUGUCAUUUGGUUUAAAUACCAAGCCGUUCCAAACCAGACGUACGACUGUUACAGUAGUUGAAACUGGGUCAUCAAACCAUUGUCUUCAUCGAGCACCUGGUUCUAAUUUCUCAACCCUUUCAUUUCUUCAAUUGUAUGUUGACAACUUUGAUCUUUACCGUUUGAAGAAUUUGUCAGACUUUCUAAA
rnacentral:lncRNA from 1 species